GUGCAGCUCUCCUCGUGUCGGAGACGCUGAGUCAGUUCUCUACUGGUCUUGCCCUCUUCCGGAAAAAGAAAACACACCUGAGAAGUGGUAGUUCCUAUCCUAACCUACUGGGGCCCUUUAUACCAGGUGCCAAACUUCAUUAUCCACCCCACCACCUUGCCCGGGAGGGAGAUCUGUGAAAGCGAAACGUGAUUUAAGCUGGGAUCUGGCAGCAACUUCGUGGACUCUGAAGGGCACGUGGGAAAGGAGUUUUGAUUGAAGGGUCUUGUUCUGUCACCUAGGCUGGAGUGGCAUGAUCAUGGCUCACUGCAACUUCUGCCUCCCUGGCUCCCAGCCUCAAGUGAUCCUCCCACUCCAGUCCCCUGAAGCAACUGGGACCACAGAGUAAUUUUAUGCUGAUUGAAGAAAAGAAGUAAACAGAGUUCCAGAAAGCAACUGCAAAUACUCAUUUUGAAAAAGAAAACAAAACAAAAACAAGGGAGACAUUUUAAAAGGUGCUAAAGCAACAGGACCAGUUGCCAGAGAGCUUAUUUUACCUCCCCAAAACAAGAUUGGUGUUUCAUCCUUGAGUUUAGUACACAGGAUUGUUCUUAUUCUUCUGCAGAUAGAGAGGUGCACUGCUUUAUGCUGCAAGUUGUCUAUAAGACAAGUUUUGUGAGUAUCAAAUAUUUGUAAGCAAAUCAAAUUUCUCCCCCAGUUGAAAUGAUUAUUUCAGAAGAAUUUCUUCUUUGUUUUGAAUUGGACUUCUGAGUUGGACUUCUCAGCAUGAUAAAGAAGAAAGAGCAUUAGAAUAAGAAAGAAGAUUAAGCUUCUUGUUUUGAUUAUGCCCAUAAUCAGCUGUGGGACCCCGGGCUAAUGCACUCCAAAAUCCCACUGUUCUGUGACCUUGCUAUGUGGGGCAUCAGCCUCCUCAUCUCUAAUAUUUUGGAUUUAAGUUAGUUGAUUUUUAUGGUCCCGCAAUGGAAUUCUUUAAACAACUCCACUAAUCCAUGAUACUGUUGCUUUAAAAAUCUUGGUUUUAGCUUUCCUCUAAGGAAUUUAUAGUGACAAUUAUCUACUUUUUUUUUCUUAAAUAAAAAUAGAGGUGGGGUUUUGCCAUGUUGCCCAGGCUGGUCUCAAACUCUUGGGCUCAAGUGAUCUGCCCACCUUGGCCUCCUAAAGUGCUGGGAUGACAGGUGUGAGCCACUGUACCCGGCCAGACCAUAUGUCUCUAGCAUUUUGAUAACAUUCUCUACAAUCUGGGCCCUGUAUAACUCCCCAGUCUUCAGACUACUACUCUCUAUGCUCACAUCUUUGGCGAUUUUAUACUCUUUGCCAAUUUAGAUGCCAUUUGUUUUUUCGUUUCCAGUAGAUUAGUAUGUCCAACCCAGAUUUUGGUAAACCCUAGACUCAUUCUACAGUCUGUGACAUCUCCAUUUGGAUUUCUUAUUGGCAUCUCAGACUCCAUAUGUCUAACCUGGAAUGCCUGAUCUCCAUUGCCUCCUAAACCGGCUUCUCUCACGGCUCUCCCAUCUCGGGGCCCAGCAUCUCAGACCUUUGCCUUGCUUACACCAGACAUUUUGUUGUUAUCUGUACCACCUCCUUCUCGUGCAGUCUACUUGAUGCCACCUAAUUGGUAUCCCUGGCUUCUGCCCUUGUUCUCUUAACGAAUCAUUUUCCAAACAGCAGCCAGAGUGAUCCUUUCAAAAAUGGAUUCAGAAAUCAUGUCACUGCUCUGCCCAAAGUUCCCAAAUGACUUCCCAGUCACUCAGAGCACAAGCUGACGCUCGACACAUCUGGGCCCCGUAAGAUUUUCAUUUCUGCUCCUCCUCCUUUUGCUCACUCUGCCCCUGCCACAUUGGUCUCCUGCUUUCCCGGAACUUGCCCAACAUGUUCCUCCCUCAGGGCCUUCACAUUUGUCAUUUCCUGUCCUAUGAUGCUCUUCCUGCAGAUAUCUACAGCAGCUCCCCGCUGCUCCUUUUGCAGGUUUUUGUUCAGAUGUCAUCUUCCUGGUGAGCUCUUCCCUGAACAACUCCUCACCCCCUCCACCUUGCCCCUGGGACUCCCUUUGACCUUUCUCGGAUUGUUUUCCCUGUAACUCUUGCCACCACCUCAUACAGGGCUUCUCAAGCUUGGCAUGAUUGGCAUUUUGGGACAGUUCUUUGUUGCGGGCUAUUAUCCUGUGCCUUGCAGGAUGUUUAGCAGCAUCACCACCCUCGACCCACUCAAUACCUGCAACUUUCCUCCCUAGGUUGUGACAGCCAGAAAUGUCUCCAGACACUGCCAAAUGUCUCCUGGGGGACAAAACCACCCCUGGUUGAGAAUCUUUGAUAUAAUGUAAAUAUGCAUUUUACCUAUGUAUUUGUUUAUUGUUCCUCCCUUCCCCACCAAUAAAAUAUAAUCUCCAUGAGAACAGGAAUUUUUGUGUCUAUUUUCCACUGAUGUAAUGCAGGCACUCUGAAUAGGGUAUGAUGCAUAGUAGGUGCUCAAACAGAUAUUUCAC
rnacentral:lncRNA from 1 species